CAAAUGGCAAAAAACGGAACCCUUAUAGAUUCGUCAUGUCUGUCUGUCUGUCUGUCUGUCCGUCCGUAUGUCACAGCCACUUUUUUCCGAAACUAUAAGAACUACUGUUGAAACUUGGUAAGUAGAUGUAUUCUGUGAACCGCAUUAAGAUUUUCACACAAAAAUAGAAAAAAAAACAAUAAAUUUUGGGGGUUCCCCAUACUUGGAACUGAAACUCAAAAAAAAUUUUUUUUUCAUCAAACCCAUACGUGUGGGGUGUGGUCUUUACUAAUAUCAUUUUUUUCUAAACUGAAUAGUUUGCGCGAGAGACACUUCCAAAGUGGUAAAAUGUGUGUCCCCCCUGUAACUUCUAAAAUAAGAGAAUGAUAAAACUAAAAAAAUAUAUGAUG